UCGCCGCGCCUCGCCGUCGAGUGCCCAGCCGCGCCUCGCCGUUGCAGUCGAGGUGGUCCUCGCCCUCGCAGUCGACGGCCCAGCCGCGCCUCGCCGUCGCCGUCGACGGCCCAGCCGCGCCUCGCCGUCGAGGGCCAGGCCGCGCUUCGCCGUCGUCUUCAAGGAAAUUCCAAAUCCAACUCCGGAGCGAGCGCACGGGAGUCGGGAGGAGAGCGGAACUCCAGCCGCUGCCUACACAGAUCAGGCGAGCUGCUCCGGCCGCCCCCGCCGAUCCGGCCGCAAGCCACGCGCGGAUUGACUCGCCGCAAACCCCAGGCCCUCUCCCCGCCUCGCCUCGGCCAGAUUCGGCUGGCGGUGGGGGAGCUCCGCCCCGAUUCGUGCCGCUCCAAUCCGUCGCCAGUCCACGGGUUUUGCGAGGCUAGCGACAGAUGGGGGUGGAGGACUACCAUGUGGUGGAGCUCGUCGGGGAGGGGUCCUUCGGGAAGGUCUACAAGGGGAGGCGCAAGUACUCUAGACAGGUUUGGUCCGCCGGCCAGAUGCAAGGAGGGCGUGGUGGUCAGAGGCAGCGGAAGGGCGGUGGUGCUUGGUGACGAGAGGAGGGACGUCCACCCUGCAGCUUGGGCGAGGGAGUCUUCACCGUCCUCGUCGCGGCGGUCUUGCUAGGUGUGGCGGAGGCCGUGGGCGGAGGUUGCCGAGGUCGCGGUACGGGUCCAGUACGAGCGGAGGUUGCCGAUCUUGCAGAUUGUUGAACCGACGGGUGCGGAGGAGCUACCUGGAGCAGUGGAACACCAGCGUCCAGCUCGACCUCAUGCUCACUCGAUGACAUCGUCCCGCCGCACGCCACCGAGAACCAGACGAUGUUCGUUUGUUAUCUUCUACUAGCUCUGCGGAUGCUUCCAAGACAUUUGCCUUGCGUAUAUGCUGGAGUAUAAAGCCAAGGUGAGUAUCAGAGCCAAGCAAUGCAGGUGUGGUAGAGUGGAAGCAUUUCUGAUCCAGAUAUCAUGGAGUAUCAUGGAAUCCAACAGUAGUUGCGGGUGUUUGUCAAAGGGCAGUUUACUGAUGAUGAGUGGGCAGAGGAAUAACAUAUGCCCAAAAUGACGAUGACCAUUAGGGAGAGCUCUUUGAGGUGCUCGAGGAUGAUGAUAAGUGCCUUCCAGAAGAACAAGUUCAAGCAAUUGCUAAGCAGCUGGUAAAAGCAUUGUAUUACUUGCACUCCAAUCGUAUUAUCCACCGGGAUAUGAAACCUCAGAACAUCCUUAUUGGAAAAGGAUCUAUUAUCAAGGUAUAAUUCUGAAUACUCAAGGUGAUGGUGAUCACUGAUGCCGCACCAUCUCAGUCGUCUGGGUUCAACUGAAGGUGAUGCUGAUCAGUUAUGAUGUUCAAAGUCGAAACAUGGUGAUGAUUUGACAGUAUAAAACUGAGAGUGUCACAAUUUUCGUCUCCGUUUUGCUCAGUGUGUACGACAGUAUAUAUGUUGGUACUGUGUGUUCUUAUUCUUGUAUGACAGUAUGUGCUCAUUCUUGUAUGAAAUAAUGUUCAUAUUGUGUGUUCAUUCUUGUAUGACAGUGAGCAGCACAUGAAAUGGUAUUUGCGGAAUUUUGGAAA